GCCGCUGUAGCAUAGUCCGGGAUUGCGGGGCCCUUGUGAGGCUCAGGUCGCCGGUUCAAAUCCGGCCAGCGGCU
rnacentral:tRNA from 2 species